rnacentral:lncRNA from 10 species
UGCCAUUGCACUCCAGCCUGGGCAACAAGAGCGAAACCCCAUCUCAAAAUACGUACAUACAUACAUUCAUACAAGCCUAGUCUUAACACAUGAGGAAUAAGUUCUCAACAAUACUGAUCAAUAGGAUACAAUGAAGCUGUCCUUAAAAUUCUGGAAGCUUUAUAUGGAUUAUCCUAUUUAAUGCAUACAAUUCCAUAAGGAACAUAUUAUUCCAUUUCCACAAAUAAGAAAUCUACAGAUUAGAGAAGUUAAGUAACUUGUUCAAGGUCACAUAGCUAGCAAGUGAUAGAAUCCAAAGCCAAGCUCUUAACAAUUACAAUAUUCUGCUUCAAUUAUUUCCUGAGUGGUUUCCUUCCCCCACCUCACAGGUUGCCUGCCCAGCCUGUUGCUAAACUAUGUCUGGCAGAGGAUAUCUCUUUCACCCCUGAGAUGGAAAACCAGUAUCUUUGCAGCCUUUUUUUACAACUACGAGCUUAUGUGGUGGUUAACUUUAAGUGUAAAUUUGAGUGAGUCAUGGGAUGCCCAGAUAUCUGAUUAAACAUUAUUU